rnacentral:rRNA from 1 species
AGUUUGAUCCUGGCUCAGAUUGAACGCUGGCGGCAGGCUUAACACAUGCAAGUCGAACGAUGACUCUCUAGCUUGCUAGRGAUGAUUAGUGGCGGACGGGUGAGUAACAUUUAGGAAUCUACCUAGUAGUGGGGGAUAGCUCGGGGAAACUCGAAUUAAUACCGCAUACGACCUACGGGUGAAAGGGGGCGCAAGCUCUUGCUAUUAGAUGAGCCUAAAUCAGAUUAGCUAGUUGGUGGGGUAAAGGCCCACCAAGGCGACGAUCUGUAACUGGUCUGAGAGGAUGAUCAGUCACACCGGAACUGAGACACGGUCCGGACUCCUACGGGAGGCAGCAGUGGGGAAUAUUGGACAAUGGGGGCAACCCUGAUCCAGCCAUGCCGCGUGUGUGAAGAAGGCCUUUUGGUUGUAAAGCACUUUAAGCAGGGAGGAGAGGCUAAUGGUUAAUACCCAUUAGAUUAGACGUA